rnacentral:rRNA from 1 species
UACGUAGGGUCCGAGCGUUGUCCGGAAUUACUGGGCGUAAAGAGCUCGUAGGUGGUUUGUCGCGUUGUUCGUGAAAACUCACAGCUCAACUGUGGGCGUGCGGGCGAUACGGGCAGACUAGAGUACUGCAGGGGAGACUGGAAUUCCUGGUGUAGCGGUGGAAUGCGCAGAUAUCAGGAGGAACACCGGUGGCGAAGGCGGGUCUCUGGGCAGUAACUGACGCUCAUGCACGACAGCGUGGGGAUCAAACAGG